rnacentral:rRNA from 1 species
UUUUUCGGUUGGGGAUGGGCUCGCGGCCUUNUCAGCUUGUUGGUGGGGUAAAGGCCUACCAAGGCGACGACGGGUAGCCGGCCUGAGAGGGCGACCGGCCACACUGGGACUGAGACACGGCCCAGACUCCUACGGGAGGCAGCAGUGGGGAAUAUUGCACAAUGGGGGAAACCCUGAUGCAGCGACGCCGCGUGAGGGAUGACGGCCUUCGGGUUGUAAACCUCUUUCAGUAGGGAAGAAGCCCUUCGGGGUGACGGUACCUGCAGAAGAAGUACCGGCUAACUACGUGCCAGCAGCCGCGGUAAUACGUAGGGUACAAGCGUUGUCCGGAAUUAUUGGGCGUAAAGAGCUCGUAGGCGGUCCGUCGCGUCUGCUGUGGAAUCGCAAGGCUCAACCUUGCGCGUGCAGUGGGUACGGGCGGACUAGAGUGCAGUAGGGGAGUCUGGAAUUCCUGGUGUAGCGGUGAAAUGCGCAGAUAUCAGGAGGAACACCGGUGGCGAAGGCGGGACUCUGGGCUGUUACUGACGCUGAGGAGCGAAAGCAUGGGGAGCGAACAGGAUUAGAUACCCUGGUAGUCCAUGCCGUAAACGUUGGGCACUAGGUGUGGGGCUCAUUCCACGAGUUCCGCGCCGCAGCUAACGCAUUAAGUGCCCCGCCUGGGGAGUACGGCCGCAAGGCUAAAACUCAAAGGAAUUGACGGGGGCCCGCACAAGCGGCGGAGCAUGCGGAUUAAUUCGAUGCAACGCGAAGAACCUUACCAAGGCUUGACAUACACCGGAAUGGGCCAGAGAUGGUUCAGCCCUUUGGGCUGGUGUACAGGUGGUGCAUGGUUGUCGUCAGCUCGUGUCGUGAGAUGUUGGGUUAAGUCCCGCAACGAGCGCAACCCUCGUUCUAUGUUGCCAGCACGUGAUGGUGGGAACUCAUAGGAGACUGCCGGGGUCAACUCGGAGGAAGGUGGGGAUGACGUCAAAUCAUCAUGCCCUUUAUGUCUUGGGCUUCACGCAUGCUACAAUGGUUGGUACAAAGGGUGGCGAGACCGCGAGGUGGAGCGAAUCCCAGAAAGCCGAUCUCAGUUCGGAUCGUAGUCUGCAACUCGACUACGUGAAGUCGGAGUCGCUAGAAUCGCAGAUC